GAUUAUGGCUCAGGACGAACGCUGGCGGCGUGCCUAACACAUGCAAGUCGAGCGAGGAGAUCCUCGGGAUGAUCCUAGCGGCGGACGGGCGAGUAACACGUGGGCAACCUGCCUCAUAGAGAGGAAUAGCCUUCCGAAAGGGAGAUUAAUACCUCAUAACAUUGCAGUUUCGCAUGGAACAGCAAUUAAAGGAGUAAUCCGCUAUGAGAUGGGCCCGCGGCGCAUUAGCUAGUUGGUGAGGUAACGGCUCACCAAGGCGACGAUGCGUAGCCGACCUGAGAGGGUGAUCGGCCACAUUGGGACUGAGACACGGCCCAGACUCCUACGGGAGGCAGCAGUGGGGAAUAUUGCACAAUGGGGGAAACCCUGAUGCAAGCAACGCCGCGUGAGUGAUGACGGCCUUCGGGUUGUAAAGCUCUGUCUUCAGGGACGAUAAUGACGGUACCUGAGGAGGAAGCCACGGCUAACUACGUGCCAGCAGCGGC
rnacentral:rRNA from 1 species